AAAGGCACAGAAACUGGCACCACUCGGCAUUCAAUAUUUUAAUAUUCACUCGACUACCUGAACGCAUAAGCUCGUGCUGAGAAAUCAAAAUGCAAUCGAUAUUCCACUUUGUAAUGCUUUUAUUGGCAGCAAUGGCUUUGUUAAGUGGCGCUGCGUUGGCUCAACUACAGGGUGGCGGCAAUCCAGGGGCCCCUGGUGCUCCCCCAGGCGCUCCCGGCAAUCCAGGCAACCCCGGAAGUCGAAGAUCUUAAAUAUAGAGACUAAUAUUUUAAAUUAAAAAGUAAACACACGUAUAUAAGUUAAGAGGAAUCUGUUAUCAAAAUCGUACCUUAAUCAACUUAGUACAAGAAAUAAAAUUAUGCCCUACUGGGUGCCGGGUUACUCUGGAAUAAAAUCUAGUUGAAUUGCUGACAAACUCACUAGGGUGGGAUCGGCAGCAGAUUUUCACGGUACAUACUGUAGAUGGGCGAUUUUUUUGCCUCCCCACAAAUCGACCCGGCCUACUGCACAUAGUUCAUCGAGAUCAAAUGUAUCUGAAAGAAAUCAAGAAUGCACCUGUUGCAAAAAUUUUAAAACUUGUACGCAAGGCGGAAAAUUUACUGAACGAAUUUGGCUCUCAACCAAUUCCCAGCCUGAUGCAAUGAACAUCUAGGUUAAAUAGCACCUGAUGUAAUGCAUUUAACGGCAAUAGUGCUAGUCAAUAGGACUAGUAUUAACUACUUCUAAAACAUAUAACGGGUUCAUCAGAAUGGAGAAUUCAUUGACAUUU